AACAGGCCUUCAUUACCCCAGCCAGCCUCACCUGACACUUCCGCCCCCCUGCCUCUGCCCGUGGGCCUGGGAGCUCCAUUUAAGCUCUGGCCUGGGCAGCCCCUUCUUCCCUGAGCUAGGCUGUAGGUGUGUGCUGUUCCUUUGCUUCUUGCUAUCUGGUUUUCCCAGGUGGAUCUUAAGUCUUUAGUUCUGUCUCUGGCCCUGUUGCCACCUCAGACCUAUGUUACAGGCUUCCUAGACUGGGCUCCCUGGAUGUGCCCUGGUCCUACCUCCUUACCUUGCCUUAGCGUGAUGGCUGACUGAACUGCUGUCACUGCUGCAGCCCUGCUCACUGGGACUGUGCUUUGCUGGUGCCUGGUUCUCCUCUUCCACCUUGGCAGUGAGCAGCGCUGAGGUUCCUCCCACCAACAGGACUCCUGCCAUCCCCUUCCCGGAGGGGACCAACUGUCCUCGCCAGUCGUACUGACCCAAAAGGAACCAGAGAGGAUAUAAGGAUGCUGAAGUGGUGGCUUGGCAGGGAACAGAGGAGCCAUUGAACAAGCACUGCCAUCUGCACUGAGAGCUCCCCACAGCCAGUGAGAGCAAACGGGGCUCAGCAAGCAGUGGUCUUGGCAGGUAGGAGCA